rnacentral:tRNA from 1 species
GCCUUCUUAGCUCAGUGGUAGAGCGCGCCACUCGUACCUUCGGGUCAUGGUGAGGUCGGUUGUUCAAUCCAGCCAGGAGGCA